AGAGUUUGAUCCUGGCUCNGGAUAAACGCUAGCGGCAGGCCUAACACAUGCAAGUCGAGGGGCAGCGGGUGGAGUAUUUCGGUACUCCUGCCGGCGACCGGCGCACGGGUGCGUAACGCGUAUGCAACCUACCUUUAACAGGGGGAUAAUCCGAAGAAAUUUGGUCUAAUACCCCAUAAUAUCAUUUAAGGCAUCUUAGAUGGUUGAAAAUUCCGAUGGUUAGAGAUGGGCAUGCGUUGUAUUAGCUAGUUGGUGAGGUAACGGCUCACCAAGGCUACGAUACAGUAGGGGACUGAGACGGUUUUCCCCCACACUGGUACUGAGACACGGACCAGACUCCUACGGGAGGCAGCA
rnacentral:rRNA from 1 species